GGGCAGUCAGGGUUCUAUUGUUAUAGUGUUAGGGCAGUCAGGGUUCUAUUGUUAUAGUGUUAGGGCAGUCAGGGUUAUAUUGUUAUAGUGUUAGGGCAGUCAGGGUUAUAUUGUUAUAGUGUUAGGGCAGUCAGGGUUAUAUUGUUAUAGUGUUAGGGCAGUCAGGGUUAUAUUGUUAUAGUGUUAGGACAGUCAGGGUUAUAUUGUUAUAGUGUUAGGACAGUCAGGGUUAUAUUGUUAUAGUGUUAAGGGCAGUCAGGGUUAUAUUGUUAGGGCAGUCAGGGUUAUAUUGUUAUAGUGUUGGGGCAGUCAGGGUUAUAUUGUUUAUAGUGUUAGGGCAGUCAGGGUUAUAUUGUUAUGAGUGUUAGGGCGGUCAGGGUUAUAUUGUUAUAGUGUUAGGGCAGUCAGGGUUAUAUUGUUAUAGUGUGAGGGCAGUCAGGGUUCUAUUGUUAUAGUGUUAGGGCAGUCAGGGUUCUAUUGUUAUAGUGUUAGGGCAGUCAGGGUUCUAUUGUUAUAGUGUUAGGGCAGUCAGGGUUCUAUUGUUAUAGUGUUAGGGCAGUCAGGGUUCUAUUGUUAUAGUGUUAGGGCAGUCAGGGUUCUAUUGUUAUAGUGUUAGGGCAGUCAGGGUUAUAUUGUUAUAGUGUUAGGGCAGUCAGGGUUAUAUUGUUAUAGUGUUAGGGCAGUCAGGGUUCUAUUGUUAUAGUUUUAGGGCAGUCAGGGUUAUAUUGUUAUAGUUUUAGGGCAGUCAGGGUUAUAUUGUUAUAGUGUUAGGGCAGUCAGGGUUAUAUUGUUAUAGUGUUAGGGCAGUCAGGGUUCUAUUGUUAUAGUGUUAGGGCAGUCAGG